rnacentral:rRNA from 1 species
AUUGAACGCUGGCGGCAGGCCUAACACAUGCAAGUCGAACGCUUGGCGGCCGGGUGAGUAAUGUCUGGGAAACUGCCUGAUGGAGGGGGAUAACUACUGGAAACGGUAGCUAAUACCGCAUACCAUCGGAUGUUCCCCGAUGGGAUUAGCUAGUAGGUGGGGUAAAGGCUCACCUAGGCGACGAUCCCUAGCUGGUCUGCGAGGAUGAUCAGUCACACUGGAACUGAGACACGGUCCAGACUCCUACGGGAGGCAGCAGUGGGGAAUAUUGUACAAUGGGCGAAAGCCUGAUCCAGCCAUGCCGCGUGUGUGAAGAAGGUCUGCGGAUUGGAAAGCACUUUAAGUUGGGAGGCGUUACCAACAGAAUAAGCACCGGCUAACUUCGUGCCAGCAGCCGCGGUAAUAC